GAUUUGAAGACAAACAGUUCGCUUCGUGUACUGAACUGACAGAAUCAGACAGAGUAACGUAUCAGUACUUAAGUAUAAACAAAAAUUUAUUACUCGUUGCAGUUCUCUGGUAUGUAUGGUUUGGAGUAGUAAUCGUAAAAUUAUUUCAAUGUAUUGCAGUUUCGGAAGUCGUGACUUGGAGGUUAGUAGACAACAACCAGAACUAAGCAUUUUGUAAUACUUUUGUAUUGUAUGUAUAUAUGUACCUACAUGAAAAUCCCCCUUUUACGAGUUGCAACUCUACCACUUAAGUUAAGUUAAUUCAAGUUAAAGCAAUCCAACUUGAAAUCAACAAAACUCUUUCUAAAUAUUAAGAACUAUGUAUAACUAAAAUUUCAUUCGCAGCAUUUUUUGGUAUUAUUAUCAACCUAAAAAAGUCAAGAUUUAGCAGAUAA